rnacentral:rRNA from 1 species
UUUUGGACAAUGGGCGAAAGCCUGAUCCAGCAAUGCCGCGUGUGGGAAGAAGGCCUUCGGGUUGUAAACCACUUUUGUACGGAACGAAAAGGUCUGCCCUAAUACGGUGGGCCCAUGACGGUACCGUAAGAAUAAGCACCGGCUAACUACGUGCCAGCAGCCGCGGUAAUACGUAGGGUGCGAGCGUUAAUCGGAAUUACUGGGCGUAAAGCGUGCGCAGGCGGUUAUAUAAGACAGUUGUGAAAUCCCCGGGCUCAACCUGGGAAUUGCAUCUGUGACUGUAUAGCUAGAGUACGGUAGAGGGGGAUGGAAUUCCGCGUGUAGCAGUGAAAUGCGUAGAUAUGCGGAGGAACACCGAUGGCGAAGGCAAUCCCCUGGACCUGUACUGACGCUCAUGCACGAAA